GAAAUUGUGUUGUGCUUUUUUUCAGUGUUGUAACAAACUGUGAAAACAACAAAAUGUGAGUGGGAACUUAGUACAAGCACAACUUGAAGAGUGUUGCACAUAUAUUAUGUUAUAAAAAGUGUUAUAACUUCUUUUUAGUGCUAUAUGUUGAAGUGUUUUUGUCAUAACAAUUAUUAACAUGAUCGAAUGAUAACUUUUUACAAUUUAUUCAAACUUCAACGUUUUCACAUAUCUCAUAGGUAUGUAUGAAACAAUAAUACUAUUAUUCGUUUAGCUUUUAUCCUUAAAUCUGAAUUUGGCUAUAAACUUGUGUCAACUCGAGACGGGAAAAUCAUGGCAUGGAAGGAGUUGAACACUCAGCCAAUUUACAUUCAUACCGAAGCAGAUAUAAAUGCGGCAAAAACUGCACAAGUGCAUCAAGUAGAUGACAGCAACAACACUAAAAUGGCUACAAAUGGAACAACAAUUGAAAACUAUGUGAUUGGCACCAAACUCCAAAUAAAUUUUGAGAGAAUUGAGCUAAAUGAGAAAGGUAAUCAAGUCGUAAAAGCCGAAGUGAAAACACAAAGAAAGUGGUCAAUCCGAACAUUUGAAGCUAGAGACCUUACUUAUAUAUUAUCAAUAGUAAAGCAAUAUAAUGAAGACUUUGAGAUUAGAGGAUAUAGAAGAUUCAAGUUGGAAGCUUCCUGUAUCACACAGCAGGGUAUUAGAGCAAGAAUCCUCGUGAAAUGCAGAGCGAUAAUAAGAGAGGUUACAAUGCACAUAAAUUUAUGGAGGAUUUUUUAAAGAUACUUCGAGGAACCUAGAACUCAAUGAAGCUCAACUUGUGUAUAACCAAUCAAGCAAUUUAUAAGAUGUUAUUGUUUGAUCUAGAUUAUAUUUUGUUAUUGUUCGUUCUACAUUAUAUGUAUUUUUAAUUAAUAAAACACUCACGCAACUAGCGUGAGAGAACCGGCUUUUCGUAGAAAACAUGAUCGAUUAUUUUUUACUGAGAAAUCGUUUGGGUAUUAAGAUAGACAUUAGUGA